rnacentral:rRNA from 1 species
UACACUCCUGCGGGAGGCAGCAGUGAGGAAUAUUGGACAAUGGGUGGAAGCCUGAUCCAGCCAUCCCGCGUGCAGGAAGACGGCCCUAUGGGUUGUAAACUGCUUUUAUCUGGGGAUAAACCUACUUACGUGUAAGUAGCUGAAGGUACCAGAAGAAUAAGCACCGGCUAACUCCGUGCCAGCAGCCGCGGUAAUACGGAGGGUGCAAGCGUUAUCCGGAUUUAUUGGGUUUAAAGGGUCCGUAGGCGGACUGAUAAGUCAGUGGUGAAAUCCGACAGCUUAACUGUCGAACUGCCAUUGAUACUGUUAGUCUUGAGUAAGGUUGAAGUGGCUGGAAUAAGUAGUGUAGCGGUGAAAUGCAUAGAUAUUACUUAGAACACCAAUUGCGAAGGCAGGUCACUAAGUCUUAACUGACGCUGAUGGACGAAAGCGUGGGGAGCGAACAGGAUUAGAAACCCGUGUAGUCCCAUGA